AGGUAUCAAAAAUGCAAAUGUAGAUGUCAUCAUCACCGAAAGAUAGUUCUUACUUAUUGAUCGCAUUUUACUAACAGAAACGAUAGGAUUAGGAGCAUGACGGAUGUACGAACAUGUAACUGUUGAAAAAGUAUCACGAAUUCUAGAUAAAGUUUUUUAUCGUAUUUAGAAUUAUUUGCAUUUGAAACCAGGUGAUACGUUUUUAUGAGUCGAGAGAGUUCAUAUACAAACUUUGAUUUUGAUGUUAUAAGUAUUUUCUUCAAAUUAU